AUUGAACGCUGGCGGAAUGCUUUACACAUGCAAGUCGAACGGCAGCACGGACUUCGGUCUGGUGGCGAGUGGCGAACGGGUGAGUAAUGUAUCGGAACGUGCCCAGUCGUGGGGGAUAACGUAGUGAAAAUUACGCUAAUACCGCAUACGAUCUAUGGGUGAAAGCGGGGGAUCGCAAGACCUCGCGCGAUUGGAGCGGCCGAUAUCAGAUUAGGUAGUUGGUGGGGUAAAGGCCCACCAAGCCAACGAUCUGUAGCUGGUCUGAGAGGACGACCAGCCACACUGGAACUGAGACACGGUCCAGACUCCUACGGGAGGCAGCAGUGGGGAAUUUUGGACAAUGGGCGAAAGCCUGAUCCAGCCACUCCGCGUGCAGGAUGAAGGCCCUCGGGUUGUAAACUGCUUUUGUACAGAACGAAAAGGUUUCUACUAAUACUAGGAGCUCAUGACGGUACUGUAAGAAUAAGCACCGGCUAACUACGUGCCAGCAGCCGCCGUAA
rnacentral:rRNA from 1 species